CCUUAAGCUUAGUUGCCAUCAUUAAGUUGGGCACUCUAAGUUGACUGCCGGUGACAAACCGGAGGAAGGUGGGGAUGACGUCAAAUCAUCAUGCCCCUUAUGAUUUGGGCUACACACGUGCUACAAUGGACAAUACAAAGGGCAGCGAAACCGCGAGGUCAAGCAAACCCCAUAAAGUUGUUCUCAGUUCGGAUUGUAGUCUGCAACUCGACUAUAUGAAGCUGGAAUCGCUAGUAAUCGUAGAUCAGCAUGCUACGGUGAAUACGUUCCCGGGUCUUGUACACACCGCCCGUCACACCACGAGAGUUUGUAACACCCGAAGCCGGUGGAGUAACCUUUUGGAGCUAGCNGUCGAAGGUGGGACAAAUGAUUGGGGUGANGUCGUAACAAGGUAGCCG
rnacentral:rRNA from 1 species